rnacentral:tRNA from 2 species
UCGGGGAUAGCUGAACGGUAAAGCGCAGGGCUGGCCAACCUGAGGAUAGUGGUUCGACUCCACUGCUCCGAU